rnacentral:tRNA from 1 species
AAAUAUUAGUUUAAUAAGAAUGUUGAUUUGUGGAAUCAAAGGUAUAUGAUAAUUAGUAUAUUGGGCU